CGCGGCAAGACGGAAAGACCCCGUGAACCUUUACUAUAGCUUGACACUGAACAUUGAGCCUUGAUGUGUAGGAUAGGUGGGAGGCUUUGAAGUGUGGACGCCAGUCUGCAUGGAGCCGACCUUGAAAUACCACCCUUUAAUGUUUGAUGUUCUAACGUGGACCCGUUACCCGGGUUGCGGACAGUGUCUGGUGGGUAGUUUGACUGGGGCGGUCUCCUCCUAAAGAGUAACGGAGGAGCACGAAGGUUGGCUAAUCCUGGUCGGACAUCAGGAGGUUAGUGCAAUGGCAUAAGCCAGCUUGACUGCGAGCGUGACGGCGCGAGCAGGUGCGAAAGCAGGUCAUAGUGAUCCGGUGGUUCUGAAUGGAAGGGCCAUCGCUCAACGGAUAAAAGGUACUCCGGGGAUAACAGGCUGAUACCGCCCAAGAGUUCAUAUCGACGGCGGUGUUUGGCACCUCGAUGUCGGCUCAUCACAUCCUGGGGCUGAAGUAGGUCCCAAGGGUAUGGCUGUUCGCCAUUUAAAGUGGUACGCGAGCUGGGUUUAGAACGUCGUGAGACAGUUCGGUCCCUAUCUGCCGUGGGCGCUGGAGAACUGAGGGGGGCUGCUCCUAGUACGAGAGGACCGGAGUGGACGCAUCACUGGUGUUCGGGUUGUCAUGCCAAUGGCACUGCCCGGUAGCUAAAUGCGGAAGAGAUAAGUGCUGAAAGCAUCUAAGCACGAAACUUGCCCCGAGAUGAGUUCUCCCUGAGACUUAGAGUCUCCUGAAGGAACGUUGAAGACGACGACGUUGAUAGGCCGGGUGUGUAAGCGCAGCGAUGCGUUGAGCUAACCGGUACUAAUGAACCGUGAGGCUUAACCUUACAACGCCGAAGCUGUU
rnacentral:rRNA from 1 species